UGGGGAAUUUUGGACAAUGGGCGAAAGCCUGAUCCAGCCAUGCCGCGUGAGUGAAGAAGGCCUUCGGGUUGUAAAGCUCUUUUAGUCGGAAAGAAAGAGUUGCAAUGAAUAAUUGUGAUUUAUGACGGUACCGACAGAAAAAGCACCGGCUAACUACGUGCCAGCAGCCGCGGUAAUACGUAGGGUGCGAGCGUUAAUCGGAAUUACUGGGCGUAAAGGGUGCGCAGGCGGUCUUGCAAGUCAGAUGUGAAAGCCCCGGGCUUAACCUGGGAAUUGCGUUUGAAACUACAAGGCUAGAGUGCAGCAGAGGGGAGUGGAAUUCCAUGUGUAGCAGUGAAAUGCGUAGAGAUGUGGAAGAACACCGAUGGCGAAGGCAGCUCCCUGGGUUGACACUGACGCUCAUGCACGAAAGCGUGGGGAGCAAACG
rnacentral:rRNA from 1 species